UAUUCCAUUGUGUUGAAACAAUCACUGAUGUGUGUGUGUUCACGCUCGGCUGAUGUGUGAGUGUAUUGUGCAGCAGAAGAGGAUAUGGUGGUGGCACUGUAUUCAGCAUGGCUGCAGCUGGUUGAGAUAGGUUCAGGAGACAGUGGCUCUUCAGCACAAAGCUCAUGAAGUCAGCAGCCCUGCUCCCACCUGGCAGCCCCCGCUGGAACCGCUCUGCCUGGGAGAGACCAACACGUCACAUCAGCUUUAAUGCUCUACUUCCCUCCUCCAGAUCCUCCAGCAUCAGCGAGCUAACAGCUGCACCGCGUCCUCUGGGUUGCAGCAGCCCCUCCUUGUUUCUUCGGUCCUGACUCCGUCUCUUUGCCUGUGGCUGGAACAGCUGUUGCAGGGGCUGAGGAUUCUGGGUACACAACACUGGGGCACCGCUGCCAGUCAUGCUCAUCCUCAGCACAGCUGCCACUCUCCAUGCAGAGAAGAGAUCAACUCCAGCAAAACUUCAUCGCAGGGCUUCUUCUCAUAAGUUGCUUUGAAGCCUGACAGAGGCCGUGACAGAACGUUUGAUGAAGGAGAGGAGAGAGGGAAACGCAGAGCUGAGGAAACUGAGUCAGCAGCACACAUCUGUUGCCGGAGCACCAGGGCAAGCCAGAGUAACAUCAACCAAGCACAGAUGAAAAUCACUGUCAAACUCAAGCGGAAAAUAUUGGGGGAAAUAAAUGCACCUGUGGCAGCUGCAUCUGGU